AGAGUUUGAUCCUGGCUCAGGACGAACGCUGGCGGCGCGCCUAACACAUGCAAGUCGAGCGAGAACCAGGGCUUGCCCUGGGGACAGCGGCGAACGGGUGCGUAACACGUGAGCAACCUGCCCCAAAGACCGGGACAACCCGAGGAAACUCGGACUAAUACCGGAUGCCCUCACCGGGUCGCAUGGUCUGGUGAGGAAAUGGAUUCCGCUUUGGGAUGGGCUCGCGGUCUAUCAGCUUGUUGGUGGGGUAACGGCCUACCAAGGCGACGACGGAUAGCUGGUCUGGGAGGACGAUCAGCCACACUGGGACUGAGACACGGCCCAGACUCCUACGGGAGGCAGCAGUGGGGAAUCUUGCGCAAUGGGGGAAACCCUGACGCAGCGACGCCGCGUGCGGGAUGAAGGCCUUCGGGUUGUAAACCGCUUUCAGCAGGGACGAAAUUGACGGUACCUGCAGAAGAAGGCCCGGCCAACUACGUGCCAGCAGCCGCGGUAAUACGUAGGGGCCUAGCGUUGUCCGGAAUUAUUGGGCGUAAAGAGCUCGUAGGCGGUUCGGCAAGUCGGAUGUGAAAUCUCCACGCUUAACGUGGAGGGGCCAUUCGAAACUGCUGUGACUCGAGUCCGGUAGGGGAGUGUGGAAUUCCCGGUGUAGCGGUGAAAUGCGCAGAUAUCGGGAGGAACACCAGUAGCGAAGGCGGCACUCUGGGCCGGUACUGACGCUGAGGAGCGAAAGCGUGGGGAGCGAACAGGAUUAGAUACCCUGGUAGUCCACGCCGUAAACGUUGGGCACUAGGUGUGGG
rnacentral:rRNA from 1 species